AGGAACAGCAAGCAACAGCGAUUGCUUCAGUAACGGCGAGUGAACCGGCAUUACCACAUGGCUCAACCUGAACGAGAUUCCAAUCCUACCUGUUGCUGUCAAUGACAGAACAGUCGGCUACUGUGGGUUUCUACUGAUGUUGUGGGCUUUGGAUCAUACAGUUGUGCAAGUGGAUGGCUGUGGUACCAUGAAUCUUCCUGGAAUGGCAAACCAUAGAGGGAUACUGUCCCGUACGUCUCAGUGUACCAUGGCUUCUGCUGUGCUUCUGUGUGAAUCCACGAGUAGAGCGGCUUGGGACUGCAGUUUGAAGUGCGAGGUGUAUCCAUCGCAAGGACCAAUACCACCAUGAGACCGAUAGCGCACAAGUAGAGUGAUUGAAGGAUGCAAAGGACUUUGCAAAGAGGGUUAAAAGUCCCUGAAGCCUUGACAGGUACGGCGGUGUGUGAUGCUGUGGAUCCAUCAAGCGGGCUUGGGCUAGCCCAAUACUGUCUACUGAGCCAAUUCCUCAAGGAAUCGAUGCAUUCGUAGCUGUGAUGUGGUGACAGAAUGCUUGUCUGAGCCUGAGUUCUGCAGUGAUCCCAAAGGGAAAGCUAACCCACAGGCAUGGAUCCAUUGGAAGUGUACACAACAGUGUUACUUCCUUGGGACUUUGUCUCGUGAUCGAGUGUUACAAGGAAGCAGCUGUGCUAUAGUACUUGGUGUGCCUACGGGUAUGCCAAUCACUGGUGUCUACCAUGGAUGGAGUAGAGCUUUACUCGUUGAUCGCAUCACUUCUGUUGAUGGUCAAUGGGUGAUGGUUCAUACUCCCCAGAUAGUACCCAGUGUAGAUUGGAUGGCAGCGGAGCUUGGUACGUUCAGUGUCAUACUCUGCCCGUCUUGAAACACGGACCAAGGAGUCUAUGGAGCUUGUAUGCUUGCAAGUGUGAUCAUGGAAAACUGUUAAGGCUUGGUGAAAGCAACGCUUACCCAGAUGGUGCUUGGAUACAGGAAGCCACGAGAGUGCUUGUAGAGGUAUCGGCUGAGGCAAGUGAUGGAUGAGUUAUUGGUGCUUGUACACCAAACCGGUGGUGAUUGCUACUGUUGGCUUGUGAUCUCUCACUGCUGACAGACAACAUCGCUGGUGAGGAGUGCAGAUACCGAUCACACUUGCUCUCGAUGGUGCUCCUACUCGGCCACUACUCGUACGUCUGCUGCUAUCGAGUGAAUACUACUGCAUGGGACACCGGAUUCGAAGUCAAGCUGACAGAGUUUUGAGUGAUUGCAAGGUCCAUGGGACCCGAAAGGUGGUGAACUAUACCAUUCCAUGACGAAGCCAUGGGAAACUGUGGUGGAAGUCAGUCGCUGUUCUGACGUGCAAAUUGUGUAGCCUGAGCAUGGCAUAGGGGUGAAAGGCCAAUCGAACCACCUAGUAGC
rnacentral:rRNA from 1 species